AACGAACGCUGGCGGCGUGCCUAACACAUGCAAGUCGAACGAGAAACUUCCCGCUUGCGGGAGGGAGUAAAGUGGCGCACGGGUGAGUAACGCGUGGGUAACCUGCCCUUAAAUCUGGGAUAACUCUGCGAAAGCGGUGCUAAUACCGGAUAUGGUUUCGAAGACUUAGGUUCUCGGUAUCAAAGGUGACCUCUUCCUGAAAGUUGCCGUUUAAGGAUGGGCCCGCGUACCAUUAGCUUGUUGGUAGGGUAAUGGCCUACCAAGGCUACGAUGGUUAGCUGGUCUGAGAGGAUGAUCAGCCACACUGGAACUGAAACACGGUCCAGACUCCUACGGGAGGCAGCAGUGAGGAGUUUUGCGCAAUGGGGGAAACCCUGACGCAGCAACGCCGCGUGAGCGAAGAAGGCCUUCGGGUCGUAAAGCUCUGUCAAGUGGGAAAAACGUUUUCCGGUAAAUAGCCGGGAGAUCUGAUGGUACCGCGAAG
rnacentral:rRNA from 1 species